GACGAACGCUGGCGGCGUGCCUAAUACAUGCAAGUAGAACGCUGAAGAGAGGAGCUUGCUCUUCUUGGAUGAGUUGCGAACGGGUGAGUAACGCGUAGGUAACCUGCCUUGUAGCGGGGGAUAACUAUUGGAAACGAUAGCUAAUACCGCAUAACAAUGGAUGACACAUGUCAUUUAUUUGAAAGGGGCAAUUGCUCCACUACAAGAUGGACCUGCGUUGUAUUAGCUAGUAGGUGAGGUAAUGGCUCACCUAGGCGACGAUACAUAGCCGACCUGAGAGGGUGAUCGGCCACACUGGGACUGAGACACGGCCCAGACUCCUACGGGAGGCAGCAGUAGGGAAUCUUCGGCAAUGGGGGCAACCCUGACCGAGCAACGCCGCGAGAGUGAAGAAGGUUUUCGGAUCGUAAAGCUCUGUUGUAAGUCAAGAACGGGUGUGAGAGUGGAAAGUUCGCACUGUGACGGUAGCUUACCAGAAAGGGACGGCUAACUACGUG
rnacentral:rRNA from 1 species